rnacentral:rRNA from 1 species
UACGGAGGGUGCGAGCGUUGUCCGGAAUCAUUGGGCGUAAAGGGCGCGUAGGUGGCUUCUUAAGCGUGCGGUGAAAGCCUGGGGCUCAACCCCGGGUCGGCCGUGCGAACUGGGGGGCUGGAGCACUGUAGAGGCGGGCGGAAUUCCGGGUGUAGCGGUGGAAUGCGUAGAGAUCCGGAAGAACACCGGUGGCGAAGGCGGCCUGCUGGGCAGUUGCUGACACUGAGGCGCGACAGCGUGGGGAGCAAACAGG